GCAUACGUCCUACGGGAGAAAGCGGGGGGAUCUUCGGACCUCGCGCCAUUAGAUGAGCCUAGGUCGGAUUAGCUAGUUGGUGAGGUAAUGGCUCACCAAGGCGACGAUCCGUAACUGGUCUGAGAGGAUGAUCAGUCACACUGGAACUGAGACACGGUCCAGACUCCCUACGGGAGGCAGCAGUGGGGAAUAUUGGACAAUGGGCGAAAGCCUGAUCCAGCCAUGCCGCGUGUGUGAAGAAGGUCUUCGGAUUGUAAAGCACUUUAAGUUGGGAGGAAGGGUAGUAACCUAAUACGUUGCUACUUUGACGUUACCGACAGAAUAAGCACCGGCUAACUUCGUG
rnacentral:rRNA from 1 species